UACAGAGGUCUCAAGCGUUGUUCGGAUUCAUUGGGCGUAAAGGGUGCGUAGGCGGACAUUUAAGUCAGGGGUGAAAUCCCAGAGCUCAACUCUGGAACUGCCUUUGAUACUGGGUGUCUUGAGUAUGGAAGAGGUGAGUGGAAUUCCGAGUGUAGAGGUGAAAUUCGUAGAUAUUGGGAGGAACACCAGUGGCGAAGGCGGCUCACUGGACUGGUACUGACGCUGAUGCGCGAAAGCGUGGGGAGCAAACGGG
rnacentral:rRNA from 1 species